rnacentral:misc_RNA from 1 species
UCCGGCUUAACGCCGGCAGUCUCCCUAGAGUGCCCAACUUAAUGGUGGCAACUAAGGACGAGGGUUGCGCUCGUUGCGGGACUUAACCCAACACCUCACGGCACGAGCUGACGACAGCCAUGCAGCACCUCUAUGGCGGCCCCCGAAGGGGAAGGCCUAUUUCUAGACCCGUCCACCACAGUUCAAGCCCAGGUAAGGUUCUUCGCGUUGCAUCGAAUUAAACCACAUGCUCCACCGCUUGUGCGGGCCCCCGUCAAUUCCUUUGAGUUUCAGCCUUGCGGCCGUACUCCCCAGGCGGGGUGCUUAAUGCGUUAGCUUCGGCACGGAUGGGGUCGAUGUCCACCCACACCUAGCACCCAACGUUUACGGCUAGGACUAC